ACCAACAACACUCAUGACAACCGCACAAACUACAACAACAACUUGCAUGACAACCCCACAAACAACAACACGCAUGACAACCUCUGUUGUGUCCACUUCAACAAAGCGUGCAGCUGCUGUUCCUCAGACCACAGAUGAUCCUCAGACCACUGAUGAUGCUGUGACAAUUUCUGAUGGUUCUUAAUCGUUCCGAAACACUUUAUUUAGUUAAACGCA